UAGUCCACGCCGUAAACGAUGGAUACUAUCUGUUGGGCCUUAAGGGCUUAGUGGAGAAGCUAACGCGAUAAGUAUCCCGCCUGGGGAGUACGGCCGCAAGGUUAAAACUCAAAGGAAUUGACGGGGACCCGCACAAGCGGUGGAGCAUGUUGUUUAAUUCGAUGCAACGCGAAGAACCUUACCUAGACUUGAUCCCUAUCAUAGCUUGUGUAAUGCAAGUGUCAGUUCGGCUGGAUAGGUGACAGAUGCUGCACGGCUGUCGUCAGCUCGUGUCGUGAGAUGUUCGGUUAAGUCCGGCAACGAGCGCAACCCCUACCUUUAGUUGCCAUCAUUAAGUUGGGCACUCUAGAGGGACUGCCAGGGAUAACCUGGAGGAAGGUGGGGACGACGUCAAGUCAUCAUGGCUCUUAUGUCUAGGGCUACAAACGUGCUACAAUGGUACCUACAAAAGGACGCAAUAUCGCGAGAUGGAGCAAAUCCCAAAAAGGUAUCUCAGUUCGGAUCGU
rnacentral:rRNA from 1 species